rnacentral:rRNA from 1 species
CGGGUGAGUAACACGUGAGCGACCUGCCCUCGUACGGGGGACAACCCGGGGAAACCCGGGCUAAUACCGCAUGGUCGGGAUCCUCGCAUGAGGAUCCUGGAAAAGAUGGCCUCUGUUUCAUGCUAUCGUGCGGGGAGGGGCUCGCGGGCUAUCAGCUUGUUGGUGAGGUAACGGCUCACCAAGGCUACGACGGCUAGGGGGUCUGAGAGGACGACCCCCCACAUUGGGACUGAGACACGGCCCAG